AUUCAGCUGAGGUGUUCUAAAUAGGAUGAAACGCGCGUCCUGAAU
rfam:Schistosoma haematobium scaffold531_41, whole genome shotgun sequence.